rnacentral:rRNA from 1 species
AGAUUGAACGCUGGCGGCAGGCCUAACACAUGCAAGUCGAGCGGUAGAGAGGUGCUUGCAUCUCUUGAGAGCGGCGGACGGGUGAGUAAUGCCUAGGAAUCUGCCUAGUGGUGGGGGAUAACGUUCGGAAACGGACGCUAAUACCGCAUACGUCCUACGGGAGAAGCGGGGGACCUUCGGGCCUCGCGCCAUUAGAUGAGCCGUAGGUCGGAUUAGCUUAGUUGGUAGAAGGGUAAACGGCUACGAACCGAAGGCAAACGACGUCCUUAAGCUGGUCUGAAGAGAUGAAUCAGCCCACACGUGGGACUGGACGACC